rfam:Ovis aries breed Texel chromosome 1, whole genome shotgun sequence.
UUCCUGGUGACUCAGAUGGUAGAGAAUCUGUCUGCAAUGCAGAAGACCCAGGCUCAAUCCCUGGGUCAGGACG